rnacentral:misc_RNA from 1 species
GCGAAGGUAGUCGGAUGCUUUAUACGCUUAAUUUCUGCACGUAAACCAUUCCACCCAGCACACAUGGCGAGCAGUUGCGUCCUAGUUACGGACCGUAAAACGCGAAAGAACCUGACAGUUUCGCGCCAACACAACCACACUCCACGGCCGAGCAUUUUCAAGAAUAGCGCAAGAACACGUCAUGCCGACAUGAUCUCACCAACAUAACAGGCACAGCAGUGCCUUUUAUGAUAACGACCCUGAACCAGGCGUGCCAAUGGAUGUAACUCCAAUGGCGCAAUGUGCAUUCGAAAGUUUUGUGUUCAAGGUUUCUGCAGUUCGCACUAAUUAUCGCAGUUGGCUGCGUUCUUCAUCGAUCCACGAGCCGAGUGAUCCACCGAUAAGACUAGAAUUUCUUUCUUCAACAAAGAAGUGGUCAAAAAAAUAAAUGAAAAAAAACACUGGCGGUGCCUAGCUGACACUCAUUGAGUCUUAAGCCACGUGCAGAAGCAUAGCACGGGCCCUACCACGUCGUCUCAUCACGGCCACGGACGUAGCACACAGGCACAGACACACCGCUAGUUACUGUUCUUAAGGCCAGGAAAAAACCUCUUUUCCAAGACAAGGUGUCUCAUGUGUCGGGGGGGACAACCCCGCUAGGAGACACAAAAAAACAACACACCCGAUGGGGGAUACUAAGGGGGAGUGGGAAGAAAACCGAGAAAAAAAAAAAACAAAAAGCAGGUGGGUCCGUUGGAAAUUACAUUGGUUGGGCAGCCUGGGUGGGGGUUUUUUUUUUUGAAAAGGAACGUGUGUGUUUUUUAUGAGGACCGAUAUAGGAGACCCUGAAGAGUUCUUAGGGCUCUGAUGGAAACGCCCACCCAGGGUUUUCGGGUGGCCACGAACAAAACGGCCGUGUUUUUUGCCCUUUACAGGCCGGGACUGGGGGCGCUGCACACCACUUGUGGCGGGGGGAAAAGGGUGGUGGGGAUGCAUUCCCGUGGUUAUUUUCCACGGAGUA